GUGCCUUUUAUGACUUAUAUGGUAACACUUCGAACUCUCGAAGCGGCACUUCGAACUCCCGAACUCUCAAAGCGGCAUUCGAACACGUGGCCGCGUCCAUCUUAAGCCGCGAACACAAUGAGCGGUGUUUGGUCGUCAAGUACUUGGAACUCAAAUCGGACACUCGACGGCACAAACACCGCGAACUAUUUACCUUCCACGGAUAUUCAGCAAUUCGAACGGGA